rnacentral:rRNA from 2 species
GACGAACGCUGGCGGCGUGCUUAACACAUGCAAGUCGAACGAGUGGCGAACGGGUGAGUAACACGUGGGUGAUCUGCCCUGCACUUUGGGAUAAGCCUGGGAAACUGGGUCUAAUACCGAAUAGGGAAAGGCGGUGUGGGAUGGGCCCGCGGCCUAUCAGCUUGUUGGUGGGGUGAUGGCCUACCAAGGCGACGACGGGUAGCCGGCCUGAGAGGGUGACCGGCCACACUGGGACUGAGAUACGGCCCAGACUCCUACGGGAGGCAGCAGUGGGGAAUAUUGCACAAUGGGCGCAAGCCUGAUGCAGCGACGCCGCGUGAGGGAUGACGGCCUUCGGGUUGUAAACCUCUUUCAGCAAGACGAUGACGGUAUGUGCAGAAGAAGGACCGGCCAACUACGUGCCAGCAGCCGCGGUAAUACGUAGGGUCCGAGCGUUGUCCGGAAUUACUGGGCGUAAAGAGCUCGUAGGUGGUUUGUCGCGUUGUUCGUGAAAACUCACAGCUUAACUGUGGGCGUGCGGGCGAUACGGGCAGACUGGAGUACUGCAGGGGAGACUGGAAUUCCUGGUGUAGCGGUGGAAUGCGCAGAUAUCAGGAGGAACACCGGUGGCGAAGGCGGGUCUCUGGGCAGACUGACGCUGAGGAGCGAAAGCGUGGGGAGCGAACAGGAUUAGAUACCCUGGUAGUCCACGCCGUAAACGGUGGGUACUAGGUGUGGGUUGAUCCGUGCCGUAGCUAACGCAUUAAGUACCCCGCCUGGGGAGUACGGCCGCAAGGCUAAAACUCAAAGGAAUUGACGGGGGCCCGCACAAGCGGCGGAGCAUGUGGAUUAAUUCGAUGCAACGCGAAGAACCUUACCUGGGUUUGACAUGUGCAGGUGGUGCAUGGCUGUCGUCAGCUCGUGUCGUGAGAUGUUGGGUUAAGUCCCGCAACGAGCGCAACCCUUGUCUCAUGUUGCCAGCACGUGGGGACUCGUGAGAGACUGCCGGGGUCAACUCGGAGGAAGGUGGGGAUGACGUCAAGUCAUCAUGCCCCUUAUGUCCAGGGCUUCACACAUGCUACAAUGGCCGGCAAAGGGCUGCGAUGCCGUGAGGUGGAGCGAAUCCUUUCCGGUCUCAGUUCGGACGGGGUCUGCAACUCGACCCCGGAAGUCGGAGUCGCUAGUAAUCGCAGAUCAGCAACGCUGCGGUGAAUACGUUCCCGGGCCUUGUACACACCGCCCGUCACGUCAUGAAAGUCGGUAACACCCGAAGCCGGUGCCUAGGGAGCCGUCGAAGGUGGGAUCGGCGAUUGGGACGAAGUCGUAACAAG